GGUGCACUCUCCUCAAUUCUUGAAGUCUGGGGAUUAAAAAUCUGUGUACUUCUGCUUGGAUAAACAUGCACGGGCUCAUGGACACAGGAAGAGGCAUUCUUUCAAGAGGAGGAUUCUUCCCCAAAUUUCAUGACAGGAUGGGAGGUGAAUCAUGCUGUCUGCCUUGCAGAUACACAAUACUGCUACCACAGCCUCGGCAGAGAUGCAGAGGAGAUCAGCCCGGGUUAAGAAAUGAAACAUGAUGAGGUGGUUUUGAAACAGUCAUGUCACAGGACCAGACACCUUCACGUCUGGAUUUGCACAGGUCUUUGGCCAAGUUAGAUGAUGAGAGCAGAGAAAGUCUUCACCUGAGAUAAGGAGUCCCCUUUGUCCUGUCUGAGAGACAAGAAUCCGCUGGAGAGAACUGAGGAGGAGGAAUGAGAGUGGUUGGAAGUUCUGCAAACGUGUCAAGUCUGAGAAGGGACAAGGGAAAAGCAAUCACAGAGAAAACUGCUUCAAGAGCACCGCUCCAUGUCACACCUCAGCAGUGCAUGUUUGGGUGAGCUUCCACAGAAGGGUUGCCUGGGUUCUCUGGGAAGCCAAGUGGUGCAGCCACCGAGAGCAAGUGCCACUGAGAUGCCCAAGUUCAUCCUCCAAACACUGCGGCAUGUGGGGCUGAAAUUCAAUAGGGGUUUCAAAGAAGAGGGGUGGAGCAGGUGUUGGUUCAUCUCACCGACUGCAGGGCCAUCCCUGGGAGUGCCUGCAGGGCAGCAGGAGGUGGGGCUGGAACUUGGCACGGUUGUUCCCCAGGCACUGGUGAGUGUGUGCUGAGCCAGCAGGACAUGGCAGAGCCCUGACGGAGCUUCCCCCCUGGACACACCGCCUUUAGUCUAGCAAGAAACUACUAAAGAAUCUACCAAAAAACACCAUGGUUGUAUGACUGGGAUGAAUCUAAAGUUUCAAAGAUGAUGGUAAGAAGUGUUUAAUUUUGCUGUUUGAUUGUGAACUACACACUGCAUCUGUUAGAUAGUGUUUUGGCUCAAAAAAUCUAAAAAAACCCUGAUUUACUAUACUUUUGCAUCUCCCUUUCAAAUACAUGUAGAGAGAGACCAGAAAGCCACUUUAAGCACUAGCCCUUUUCUCCAGGUGGCAUUUUUUGGUGUUAUCAGUUCAUGGUGUGAGGGAUACAUGUGAUUAUCUUCCUGCAAACUGUGGAGCAUCUCCAAGGCUUAGAUAAAUUUCUGUUUUGUUUCACUGAAGGAAGCCACAAUUUGAAACUGUUACGAAAACGACAAAGAACUACCCAAAGCUACCUAUGUAUGUGCAGAGUUCCAGUAUUUAUACUUUACCUGCAGGCUGGGAGGAUGGAAUCCUUCAGCUGAAGCCAUUUGAAAUGUAUGGAUGUAGAUUAAGACAGCUGUCUCCAGCAUUCUUUACAGAGGUAGUUGCUGGCAGGGGGCACUUCAUUUCAAAGUCUGUCUGCAUUCAUGUUUUACAGAGCCUAGACAAU